GCCUAAACUAUUAGGUUGGUGCAAAAGUAAUCACGUUUUUUGCCAUUACUGUCAGUGGGAAAAACUGCUAUUACUUUUGCACCAACCUAAUAACACACUCACUGUGGGGG
ensembl:miRNA